rnacentral:rRNA from 1 species
UACGUAGGGAGCAAGCGUUGUCCGGAAUCAUUGGGCGUAAAGCGCGCGUAGGCGGCCCGGUAAGUCCGCUCUGAAAGUCCAGGGCUUAACCCUGGAAAGCGGGUGGAUACUGCCGGGCUAGAAUCCGGAAGAGGCGAGUGGAAUUCCUGGUGAGCGGUGGAAUGCGCAGAUAUCAGGAAGAACACCGAUGGCGAAGGCAGUUCUCCUGGGACGGUACUGACGCUGAGACGCGAAAGCGUGGGGAGCGAACAG